AUGAAGGAGAGAGAAGAUGAUAGAAAAGAAAAGGGUAGAAGAGAAGAAUGAAAGGUGGGAGAGGUAAAGAAGUGUCCCGUCCACACACUGCAGGCUCAUGAAUCUUAACGGUGGGAUAACUGGAAUUCAGACUCAAUCACCCAAUGGAAAUGACCAGAGAAGUGAGGGGGAGAGAAGGGGGAGAUUUAUUUUCAGGUGGCGGAUUCCCCUUAAGGCCCGAGCAUGUGUCUAAUUUGUGUGUGUGUGUGUGUGUGUGCGGGAGAGGGGGUUUCACGGGAACACAAAAUCAAUGUGGAUACCAGUUUCCUCAUCGGAGGGAACAUCAGGCUGUAACCACGGAGGAUUGGUACCCCACGGGAGCAGAGUAUUCAAAUCAAUACUCAUAUUUUCUUUUCAGAAUCCAGGUCACUGCUUUCGGUGUAAUGCGUUCACAGAGGUUGUUAGUGGAAAACAAAGAGUUGCAUCACGUCACAAGAACAUGCCAGAGGCAGCAUGAAACAUUUGUGAUUCUGCAUUUGAGUCCGCUGCAGCGAAAACCACAAACACGCUGAUAUCACUUCCUUAUUGUUUCUGGCUUUGACAAGAGUUUCACCAGAGAAAAGGGACAAUAUUAUGAUGAACUUAGAACAGACAUAACAAUGUUUGUGGUUGCAUGUUUGAGGAGUCUCAUUUCCUGCCUGAGGCGGCGCGAGGCCGUUAAUAAGCACAAGAUAGAGACUGUGACACUUUGUCUGGUUUAUGACCCCGAAAAUAGAAAAGCAGAAACCUUUCAGAGCGCCAGGCAAAGCGGAGCGAACAAAGAGAAAGGAAACACAAAGAGAGAAAAAAAAAAAGGUUCACUUCAGUCAUCUGCUAUCACCCUCAAGGUCAUGAUGGGUGUGUGUGUGAGAUGGGUGAGGAGCAGCCCCCACCCCCCCACACACCCUGUCACACAGAAACUCUCCGCACACACCUCCUGUCAAGAGCAUUAAGCUCAGAUGCAAAAUAGAAGUUAAUUUUCCUCCCACAGCAUGAGAACCACAACCUUUAACUGUCUCUCUAUCUAGAGUAGAAAUACACCAGCUGCUAUAAUAACAUAUACAACAUCAUUUUAUUAGUAAAACUCAUUCCACCAUUAAUAACUAAAAAAAGGCUAAAUAAGAUCCCAUUCAGCAAAGGCCAACUUGAACUCGACUGUUUGUUCUGAUGCCGAAGUGAAAGAGGAAAUGAAGACAUAACGUUCAGUGUGAUGGGAAAGUUUUCUUCUCUCCCAAAAAAGACUGCCCUCCCCUCAGCAAAAGAAAAAAAAAAUACACAACCCCUCCCCCCUUUCUAACCUCCCCUCCCCCCCCUCGAUAGUCUGUGUACAGCUCUUCUAUAUUAAUAUGAAAUAUGAUGGCGAAUGAGAGACACAAACGCUUCACAUGGGGGCAAUCGUGAUUUCACCAUCUUUGUGACCACCUUUUAUUCUCUUGUUUUGCUUGAUGUGCACACACACAUUCAUGGAGCAUGACACACACACACACACACACACACACACACACUUGUGCUGUAUGAUUGUGUGCGUUGGGGGUGUUUUCAGGUUGUAGGGGGGUCUUUCGGGGACUUAAUAUGUUGUCAUGAAUGUCUGCCGAUGAAGAAACUGAUCACUUUAACAAGAGAGGCCCUCCUCCUCCUCAGGGUUUCUCAAGGGGUAGUGUGUGUGUACGUGUGUGUGGGUGUGUGUAUGUGUGUGCGUGUGUUUGUGUGUGUGUGCGCGCUCAUGCGAACACGCCAUCAAGGGUGGCGUGGUCUGCACAAGAGGCGGAGACAACAAAAGCAGGAUGUGAUACAGCAGGACUCCACUUCUCCAGUGAAAUCAGCACAGCGCAGAGAGCGCCACCCGUUGACGAAUGGACGCCACAGCCGGGGCCUGCUGGUAAAAUUCCACUCCCACAGACCAGGAAGGAGCGUGCAAAAGUACCCAACAAAUGACUUGAUAAGAUCCGAGGAGCCUGGUGUGUGUCCUUUCGGGUAUUCCAGUCGUGUGUGCUUGGAGAAACAAAAGGCAAGGGGUCCUGCAGUGUGUCGACUGCCGAAAGAGGUUUCUGUUUUUGUCUCUUCACUGGAGGCCCAGCUGGACCCCACCCAUCUCUACUCACACACACAUAUAGAAGCUACACACACUUUGAGCUAGGGAACCCUCAGUCCACCAAAAAAGACGACAACACAAACAAAAACUGUCACAUCCAACGUUGCACAUUACCGGAUACACCGGCAGAAAACUCCUAAAGCCAGCACACUUGCGUUCAGAACCAAAAGUUAAACAUUAAUGCAGCUAAAAGCCUCCUGGAAGCUCCCACUUCCCAUUUGUUUGUUUUUUUAAAAGCUGCAGUUUGAAGACACGAGAGCCUGAAGCCGUCACGGGGAGCGACACCAUGUCAGCGUUCCCUCAGGGGCCUCCACCGCUAUUGGCCCCUGCUGCAUCAAUCUUGAGAGCACAUUUUAAAUAUGAGAUUAAGAGGGUGAUAUCAUACCUCAGGUUACAUAAUGGCACCCUGCUAAGCUAUUUAUAUGUCAUGGAGCUAUUUUUGUCUGAAUAAUAAAAUAAAACGUGACGGGGGUGAACUUUGAUUUAUGGCGCUGCUAUUAAAUGUGAAUUAAUGAUAUAAAAACGCAGAUUCGUGGACACAAAGGCAGCCAGUGGAGCCAUGCCAUAAGCCUCCAGCUCUUCUUGUCAAAUCCAUCAAAUCCAUCAUGACAGAUGUGAAGAUACAACUUGUCAAACACGCAGAGUUUUCUAUAUUUUCACUCACACACGUCACUCUCGAGUGUGUUAUUAUAUCAAACUGGCUCUGAGGACAUUUUAACAGCUGCCCACCAACUAGUCGUGGUUUUGACGCACGGAAACAUUUCUUCUCUAAGCUCCACAACCAUGAAUUACCCGACACACUCAUUCAUCUUCUCCCUUCAUAACAUAUAAUUGCGCAACAGCUGAGGAGGCUUGCCUCAUCUUAUGCGACACCGUCCACUCUUCUUCAGAAUUCUUGUCUGCAGACUGUUUGGCUGUUGGUAUGUGAGGACUGCAGGUUUCUGCACGCAGCACAACAUGCUGUAGCUCCUGCAAAUCCUCUAACAGCAUCACAACCAUCCAGAAAUAGUCAUAAUCAUACAGAUUAAUAUAGGAAUACUUACCCUCGCUUCUCCGUAUGCUUUGACACAGAUGUUAAUCCAGCUUUGUUGUUAUUGUCAGCGUAUUGAAAAGGGUUGUGAAAAUACACAAAGAAAUCACACCUGGUUUCUGAAAAGGCAGUAACCUGAAAAGACAAAUGCACACAAAUAAAUCCUCACAUAAAGAGCUGAUCCUGCUACACGUUUUAGACAAACCACAGCACAACUGCUAGGCCCUGUUAUUGUGACACAAUAACAGAUUUAACACACCACAAUGUACUACAAGGAGGAUUACAGGAUUCACUCCCUUCACUCAGGUUCACAAUUGAAAAACUCUGCAUCCUUUAGAAACAGAAUGUCCUGGUCAAAAUGAUUUAAAGAAAGCUAAAAUGUAAUAAAAAUAGGUGUCAGAAAUGCUCAUUUAUUUUCUUCAUUAGACACUUAUGGCAAACUAGCCCAAACCCCUCAUGAGCGUGUAACUCUGUGAGGUUACAGCACCAUCUAGAGGUGAGUUCAGGCAACUUCCUGUUUUCGAGACAGAUCCAACAUGGCUGCUCCCUUGUAGAGACGUUUUCAGGCUUCCUGGUUGUGUGAAGUAGCUGCAAACCUUGAGGGAUUGCUGCCACCAUGGAUGCAAGAGAAAUAGUCCACUGUGCUGUGCAGAUAGAGAGAUCCAUCGCAGACAGAAGCUAUGGGGACGUCUUGACCCUCCUCGGUGACCUCGACAAGUCUCACAUCACGCCAGAGCAGCUAGAAGCGACAGGCGUCGUUAAACGUCUCCACGGGCUCCUGAAAAGCUGCUCUGAUGACAGCGUGAAGAGGACAGCCAAGAGCUUGUUGUGCAAGUGGAAGAGACAGUACAGCAAAGACACCCGAGGUGCGAAAAGCACAGAGGAUCCUGAGCUCUCUCGGAGGGUGUCUCUGCCAGACGAGGCCGAGGAUGGAGGAGUCUCCGAGCAGGGGGACUCCCGCGCUGAGUCAGCACAGACAUGUGACAGCAAAGUGAAGUGUGCACAACAAGAAGCGUCAUCCCUAGUGGAACAAGAUGGGCUUUCUUUCCCUGCAGAGAGCCCCUCUGCAUCCUGUAGUUUGUCAUCUGUAAGAUCCAAAUGUGUUGAGCUCCUUCUUGCCGCCCUCCGCCCCGAACUUCCCGAUGGGGACAAGGCCGCAGAGCUGGCCGCAGACAUCGAGCGGCACAUCCACGAGCUCCACCAAUCCAUCAAAUACAAAGCCUGCGUGAGGAGCAAGGUGGCCAACCUGAGGAAUCCCAAAAACCGGCAUCUACGUCGGGGCCUCCUGAGCAGCUCGCUGUCGCCCGAGGCCUUCGCCCGGAUGUCUGCAGAGGAGAUGGCCAGCGCAGAGCUCCGGCAGCUCAGGGAGGAGUACUCGUCCCGGGGCGUGAGCGAGAGGCAGCUUCCUCGGGGGACGGAAGGGACGCGGACGCAGAAGAUCCGCUGCAAGAGAUGCGGGGGGUCAGACUGUAGGGUGACGCAGGUGUCCAGGGGUGCCCUUUUCUUGCCCGCGUGGGUGAGGCAGAGCGGCCCUGACGAGGACGCUAUGACCUUUGUGACCUGCAGUGGGUGUGGCCAGCAGUGGUACCACAGCGGCUGGGUCUGCCUCUAGAUAGUAUCACAUCAUCAUUCAGGAGGAAUGGUCAGAGGAAUGAGGUGGGGAAACAAGGGACAGAGCAUUCUCGCGGGAUGGAGCGCAUACUUGCCGUUUAAACAAGACAUUUUUUAGGAUGCAUCCUUUAUUUUGCAUGUGCAUUCACCAGUUAAUCCGUAACUAGAAGCCCUUCAUUACCUUUCUGCUACAAAGUGAACAUUUUCUGGUCAGAGAAAUUACCUUUGACAUCACUUAACGUAUAGUUUUCUUGAUGUAAAGGAAGAACGUGUAUUCUUUUUGCACUGAUUGUGAGCCACGAUUGCUUUGAAUGUUUAUACUCCUUGUUGAGGAGGAGAAAACAUGCGCCUAGCUUCCUACAAUAUCCCAUUCAUGUGGAGAGCAUGUGACCUGAGAAAACGGUGGGCAUGUGAGUCAGUAAUCUGCCCUCCUGAGCGGCCCCUGGGGUGGAUAUCCCAUGGUCCUUCACUCAGUCGACGUGGCACGAUGACUGGCUUACACGUCAUCGUGACGUCACAUCGCCGGGCCUUCUUCACUGUACAGGCCUGAAGAGUUUCACUAUCUCUUCUUUUUAAAUGGAAUCUUUCUGAGCUGAUAGGGAGUGAGACUUUUCUGUUCUUUGCAGCAGACGCAGUCGGUUUUAAGAGGAUAAUUCAGGGGUGUGCAAAGAUUUAAAAAAUCCCCCUUCUCGUGGUUGUGAGGUCUGCGAUAUCUUAUCAGGCAGAUACAUGUAGGAGUGUUGCUGUUUGGUAUCUCAGCACUGUGGCUCUUCUCUGUGUCUCCUUUCAGAUGCUCCCCUAUCUUUACAGUGUCGUGUUGGGUGACAGAUCCCACCCUUUCAGGCUGGUUUGGCCUGUCAAAUCAGUGUGCUGUCGCCAUUUAUAUCUUCUCUCCCUCGCACAACAAACACUCUGCAGACAGAGGUGCAACGUUCCGGGCUCCUUCACCAACAUUAAGAGGCUUUAAGCCUGCAGAAAGGCAUAUCUUUUGAUCAUCUUUGCUCAUUUAUGCAGUGCAAUAACAUUGGCAAUGCACAAUUUCAGUAGGUUAAUUUUCCUAUAGUUUGUUAGGAACCACUUCUUAGGUUAAAAUAUGUUCCAUGUAUGAAUUAAUAUGUUUCAGAAAUCUGCUCUCACUCAUGUAACAAGUAAGAACAGGCAAGGCCAAUGAAACGUGGAUGUGAUGACAUCCAGCAGAGCGCAUGAUGGGGAGGAGGCGUGACACUCCCCGGGUCAUGUGAGCCUCAUCAGCGGCGCUAAGGCUAGAGAGCAGCGCCAUGUCACCGGCUCACAGCAGCACACUGCCGGGAUGGAGGUGGAGGAUGUGAACGCAGAACACACCGACAGAUUGCUGACAAAAUGAUA